AUGAUAAAGAACCAAGGAAGCAAAAUUUCCAUCCACUUCCUUAUGCUGAGCUCACUCGUGCAGCUGUUUCGCUUACAAAAAAUUUUCUCCAUGAUAUAAUCAUGCCUUUUUCUCCCUGCAUUUUGAAGUUUUCGAAUUUCUAUUGAUUUCAGCAGAAGAGCCCGGCGAAAGCAGUGAUAGCUGAUUGCUGAAUAAUAAUGUCCUUUUGGUUCAGUGUCGCGAUCGCCAUCGCAGUCUUGGCGCUGGCUGUCGUGGCGUUAGUUUUCUGCAUUUAUAAAACGUGCAAAGAGAGGAGACGCCGAAAAAAUAGGGCACAUCAUGCUGGUCAACGAGUGCCGAGUAUUGAGUUUUACACGUUAAGAAGAGGAGAUACGCUAUCUACUAACAUUUCGAAUGUGAUUUAAAUAAAUAAUCAAUCUUAACGAAAAAUUGCGGAUUGAAUUAUUUGUGACUUUAUCAAGUGCGAAUAAACAAUUUUUUAUAAUUU